AAGAAGAAGAAGAAAGCUUGAAAUGCAAGUCAAGAUGAAGAAGAAAUAAGAGCCAACAAAGAAGCUAAAGAGGAGUUGAGUUGUAACUUUGGUCACAAAGAAUAAAUUCAAAAAAAAAAAAAAGUAAAAUCUAGUCAGUUUAGUUAAGCCAACAAGGAAGAGUGAAAAAGUCUAGCUCGCUAGACAUUAGGAGUGGUUAUUAGAGGUAAGGUUUAACGUUGUAGUUGUUAACGUGUGUGUCUGUAAUACGUAGUAUAGAGAAUUGUGUGUUGGAUGUUGAGAAAUGAAAUGAGAGAUAUAUUAACAAUGUAA